CUGCGUUUAAAUCCAUAAUUUUGAAACUACUUGCAAAAAUAUUAAUAACUGUUAGAAAGUAACAGUAAUUAACUGUAAUUAAAAUCAUAUUUGCUAUUUCUUUAACCACCUAUAUAAAAUAUUGCAACUCACUCGGUUAUUUACAAAAAUAUUAUAUUCAUAAACCGUCUUAAAGUAAUUUUACGUUAAUUUCUUCAAAAAAUCAAUAAACAGCACUUAGCGGAAUAAUAGUUUUGUUUGACCAUCUUUGUUCAAUUGACAACCAGACCGACUACCGCCCCGGACUUUGAUGUUUAUGUAUUUGCAGGGAUAUUCCGAAAAUGACACAUUGCAACUGAAGGCGCUGGUUGGGCUUACAACCCUCAAUUUCGAAAUGCGCAUGUGCGUCUUAGUGACAUAUGUCAAGUGUGGAAAAUACAAAUUUUUUAUUAUAAAUUCACAUAUUUACUUAACGUGUCACACAAAUCCUUGUGAAUUGUCAGUAUGGUAUUAAAAAUGUAGCAAAUAGCUUUUGAAAUGAAAUUAAUGGCACGAUUCCGAUUACUUUGGCGCCGCGAUCUGAGGGCAUCGUUGGAAAGAGGACGUCCUCCCGAUUAACUAAACAAAUUAACUAAUAUUUCACAUUAACAACGUUUAUUUACCAGAAUUUUGUUAAAUACUAAAUAAUUUUGUUCACUAAAUAAACCGUUACACUUUUAA